AUUGUUUAAGGGGGUUUUCCGGCCCCCUUUAGGUGCCUGGCAGCUUAACGCCAUUAAAGCCACCUCCCGCCCUGGGGGAGUACCGGGCCGCAAGGCUGGAAACUCAAAGGAAUUGACGGGGAACCCCGCACAAACGGUGGAGCAUGUGGUUUAAUUCGAAGCAACGCGAAGAACCUUACCAGGUCUUGACAUCCCACUGACCGGUGUAGAGAUACGCCUUUCCCUUCGGGGACAGUGGUGACAGGUGGUGCAUGGUUGUCGUCAGCUCGUGUCGUGAGAUGUUGGGUUAAGUCCCGCAACGAGCGCAACCCUUGAUCUUAGUUGCCAGCAUUCAGUUGGGCACUCUAAGGUGACUGCCGGUGAUAAACCGGAGGAAGGUGGGGAUGACGUCAAAUCAUCAUGCCCCUUAUGACCUGGGCUACACACGUGCUACAAUGGAUGAUACAGAGGGUUGCCAACCCGCGAGGGGGAGCCAAUCCCAUAAAAUCAUUCCCAGUUCGGAUUGGAGACUGCAACUCGCCUCCAUGAAGCCGGAAUCGCUAGUAAUCGUGGAUCAGCAUGCCACGGUGAAUACGUUCCCGGGUCUUGUACACACCGCCCGUCACACCACGAGAGUUUGUAACACCCGAAGUCGGUGGGGUAACCCUUACGGGAGCCAGCCGCCGAAGGUGGGACACGCAUGAUUGGGGUGAAGUCGUAACAAGGUAGCCGUAUCGGAAGGUGCGGCUGGAUCACCU
rnacentral:rRNA from 1 species